rnacentral:rRNA from 1 species
GCUGGCAGCUACCUCUUCGCAACUCUCACAUGGUCGUCCACUAAAGCUAUGCAGGGCUGUGCCUGGUCAGUACCUGGAUGGGAGACCACAUGUGAAGGCUAGGUUGCUGCUGGAA